rnacentral:RNase_P_RNA from 1 species
UUUUGGCAAACGCUGCAUUUUUAAUAAUGUAGAGGAAAGUCCAUACUUGCACAAUCUGUGAUGAUUGUAGUGUUUGUGCUUAGGGAAAAAAUAACCUAAGGUAGCUUUUUUAGCUAACGACGCGAUGAUGGCCUAAGUUUUUUAAUAUGGCUAGUCUGCAUAAAGUGCCGCAGUGACGAAUCUUUUAGAAAUAAAAGGGUGAAACGUGGUAAACUCCGCAAGCAAGAAACCCAAAUUUUGGUAGGGGAACUCUAAAAGGAAGAAACGAAUUUCUUUGGGGACCGUUAGUUAUUCGGUAGAUAAAUGUUUGCCCCUUAUUUAUAAGGAACAGAAUAUGGCUUAUAA